rnacentral:lncRNA from 1 species
AUGAAAAAAAAAAGGGGGGGGGGGUUACAGCCCCUGCACACCACACUUUGGUUAUUAGCUUCCCAAGGGCGGCCACCCAGGCCAUGGAGGGAGGGCAGAGGCGGGCGAGGAGCGCACCCCCCUUGCUUUCACCCACAGGGGCAGCGGGGGGGGCUCCAGGCCGGCUGUGCGGAGGGAGACCCCCGGGGGUCAAGCCCCCCCCCCGGCCCCAUCCCCACGGCUCCCCAAAAACCGGGCAGCGGGGGGGGGCUUCCCAAACCGCCAACGGGGGGCUCCUGGGGGCUCCGCGGCCAGGGCAGCCCCGCCGGCACCUCCCCACCACCCCCAGGGGACCGCAGGGGCCUGGCCCCGGGCCCUGCCCCGCACCCCGGAGGGAGCCACGGGACGGCGCUGCCACGGGGCUCGCAGCGCCCGACAGCCACCGGGGAACCGGCUCCGUCCCCCCCUCCGUGCCCAGACCCCGGGCCCGGGCUCUCGGUGCGAGGAGGGGGGGGCCCCGUCCCGAGCCCCCCCGCCCCGUCCCGGCACUCACCGGCCGCGCCGCGCCGCUCCGCGCCGUUUAAAUGUCCCGACGCCCCCCCCACCCGCCCCCGUCGUUCUCUUCCGGGUCGGAGGCGGCCUACGGGCCGCGGCGGGGCUCACAAGGCCUCGCCGAGCGAAGCGGCCGCUCCCCGCCUCGGCCGGGCCGGCGGCGGGGCCUCAGGAGGGGCCGUGGCGGGGCGCGAGGGGUCCGGGCCUCGGCCUGGGGCGUGGAGGCGGCGGCGCUGCGGGGCUGGGGUGCCGUGGGGGGGGCGGAAGGGCGGUGAAAGCCCCGAAGUGCCCGGUGUCUGCUUCACAAGAGUCAUUAAUCGCGGAGUCGUUAAUCACAGAAUCACUGAUCACAGAAUCAUUAAUCACAGAGUCAUUAAGGCUGGAGAAGACAUCCGAGAUCACCUGGUCCAACCGUCCCCCUACCACCAAAGUCACCCACUCAACCAUGUCCCCAAGCACCACGUCCAACCUUUCCUCAGACACCCCCACAGACAGUGA